rnacentral:rRNA from 1 species
AUUGAACGCUGGCGGCAUGCCUAACACAUGCAAGUCGAACGGCAGCAUGGCUCAGCUUGCUGAGCUGAUGGCGAGUGGCGGACGGGUGAGUAACGCGUAGGAAUAUACCUUAAGGAUUGGGAUAACUUGGGGAAACUCAAGCUAAUACCGGAUAAGCUCUGAGGAGUAAAGCUGGGGACCGCAAGGCCUGGCGCUUUAAGAAUAGCCUGCGUCCGAUUAGCUAGUUGGUGAGGUAAGGGCUCACCAAGGCGACGAUCGGUAGCUGGUCUGAGAGGAUGGACAGCCACACUGGGACUGAGACACGGCCCAGACUCCUACGGGUGGCAG